rnacentral:rRNA from 1 species
UACAUGUGGGGCAAGCGUUGUUCGGAAUUACUGGGCAUAAAGGGUGCGUAGGUGGUCUGCUAAGUCAGUGGUGAAAUCCCGCGGCCCAACCGUGGAACUGCCAUCGAUACUGGCGGACUUGAGUGCGUGAGGGGUUACCGGAACGAGCAGUGUAGCGGUGAAAUGCGUAGAUAUUGCUCGGAAGGCCAGAGGCGAAGGCGGGUAACUGGCACGCAACUGACACUGAGGCACGAAAGCGUGGGGAGCAAACAGG